AAAGUAAAAAAUAAUAUAAGCUGCUAACUUAUAAAAUAGUGAACAUCAUUAUUACUUUU
rnacentral:tRNA from 1 species